rfam:Schistosoma margrebowiei strain Zambia genome assembly, scaffold: SMRZ_scaffold0000090
GCACUGCUGAGGAGUCCCACAAUAGGAUGAAAUGACCGUUCAGUGC